rnacentral:rRNA from 1 species
GACGAACGCUGGCGGCGUGCUUAACACAUGCAAGUCGAACGAUGAACCCGGAGCUUGCUCCGGCGGAUUAGUGGCGAACGGGUGAGUAACACGUGAGUAACCUGCCCUUGACUCUGGGAUAACUGCUAGAAAUGGUAGCUAAUACCGGAUACGACCCUCGGCGGCAUCGCCAGGGGGUGGAAAGAAUUUCGGUCAAGGAUGGACUCGCGGCCUAUCAGCUAGUUGGUGAGGUAACGGCUCACCAAGGCGACGACGGGUAGCCGGCCUGAGAGGGUGACCGGCCACACUGGGACUGAGACACGGCCCAGACUCCUACGGGGGGCAGCAGUGGGGAAUAUUGCACAAUGGGCGCAAGCCUGGUGCAGCAACGCCGCGUGAGGGAUGACGGCCUUCGGGUUGUAAACCUCUUUUAGUAGGGAAGAAGCGAAAGUGACGGUACCUGCAGAAAAAGCACCGGCUAACUACGUGCCAGCAGCCGCCGUAA